AAAGAUAGAAACUUUGGCCUUAUGCCAUUGCAUUCUCAAACUUCUUUUCUUAAAUCAAACUUGUAAAUAAACUUAACCAUACUUGACUUUAACUUUCAAAAAAGCCAAAAAGAACUACCUCAUUCAAACCAUUUUUAGGCCUUUGUGCCUUUCAAACUUAAUUUCUAUUAAAAUCAAUGCAUCCACUUUAAAAUUUGUAUCACGAACUACGAGGUUUUGAUCCCUCAUUUUUAUGUUGGUACGUAGGCAUAAGACCGAAGGUCUUGCCAAACACAAAAAUAUAUUUAAUGAAUUCUUUUCUCAUCCCCCAUUCUAUUUUGUUUGUAAACAUCAUUUUAUACAAAAUACAUAUGCACACAAAAAGGGCUCUCUAGGAGUACCUAGGACACUUUGGGUGUUAACACCUUCCCUGUGUAACCAACCCCCUUACCUGUAAUCUCUGACAUUUUAUUAGUUUUAAUUUGAAAACUUUUUACUUUUGGGUUUUGUUCGUACAUUUUCCCUUUUCCCUUGGAAACAAUAACAGCGCGGUGGCGACUUUUGUUAUUUGAUCUCUAGCUUAUCCAUAGCUUGAUGAUCAUGAAAUUACCGCUACAAAAUGAUCGUGAAACAAAUAGGUCAACUUUUAACUAAUAAAAUUAAUUAAUUAAAAUUCAAUUAAGCCAUCUAAUUAAGGUAAUUAAAAUUAAUUAUCAAAAUUAUUCAAUUAAAAAUUAAUGUAAUCAAAUAAUUAAGUUAAUUAAAAUUAGUUAACGAAAUUAUCUAAUUAAUCAAGACUUUAAUUAAUUAAUCAAUUUAGAAAAAGAAAUAAGUGACAAUAUUGAAUAUUAAAUAAUCGAAUCGAAUCAGCCACUAUAUGCUCAUAAACCGGUCUGUAAAAUGCCACAAUGGAACUGGAAUGACAUCUGUGAAGAUCAAAACGCGGUGAAAUGCCACAUUUGAUUUGUUGGAUCCGCGAAUUAAAAUUCCAUUUUAAGCGCAAUGAAGACCCAAUAGCAACCCAAUCAAUAUAUGACAUGUAACACUAAUAUUAACAAUGAUUAUAAAAUAAUACCAAACUUUUGCUUUCUCUUAUUCAUGUGAAGUUCAUAUACAUGACAAUAACAUUUCCUCAACUUCACGCUCUUGAAUUAACAAAUUGAUUAAUUAUUCAUCACCAAUUUCCACACUUCAAAUAAUAAUCUAAAACCGAACUCUGACUUUUCAUAUUAAGGCAUAUAUCAUGUUUUGAGAAAAGACAAUGUACUUAUUAACAAAAGAAAAGAAUUAGAAAAAAAAGAUUGUCAAUACAAUGAACACAAUGUAUUAGAGUGGAAUAACCAAGGCUAUGAAUACAAUGCCUCGUUACGAGCCUCCCUGGAAUAAUAAUAUCAUCAUCACCUAACCAAUGUUCAAAUUAAAACACCAAAGACUAUGAAGGAUUCAGUGCGUCUUAAAGUCACAACAACAAGCAUAAUCCCACAACAGUAUACAUCCCCUUUAUAAAUUUAUAUUAAACUUAGAUUUUAAUAUUAUUGAAAGAACUAAAUCCAAACUUAAAUGUAUAAGUUAAACAUAAACAAUUAGCCAAAAGGAAACAGUGGAGCGUUACCUAAACAACUAUAUGGUCGGAGAUCGUGGGCGGAGAUUUGGGCUGUCGCUCAGAAAUCGCGGUUGUUGGCGACGAUUUAGGGAUAUCGACGGUGAGUGGUUGUUGUUGGAGGAAGGGGGCGUCGCCGACGAUUAAGAAGGUUUGAUGUGAGAGUAGGUGUGAAAAGGAGGAAACGGCGGUUUCACGGUGGGUUUCGCGAUGGUGGUGUAGUGGAUGUCAUUCGUCGGAAAGGAGAAGAGGAGUUGUUGUGACGGCUGGUCCAGGCGGUGGAUUUAUUGGAGAUUUAGAUGGAGCUUCCGGUGAGGGAGGGGUCGCGGAUGGAGGUCGAAGGUAGUUUCCGACGGUGGUGGUUGGAGUUUGGGAUUUCGCGGCGACGAGAUGAAGAGUGAAUGGGUUAUGCGUUGUUGUUAGGUUGGAACGCGGACGGAGGUUUGCCGGCGGUGAGCGGAUCUGUGUUGAUUCCGACGGAAGGAAGGCGGUUGUUUGGCGCUGUGGAGAAGAAUAGGGAACAAUUUCUUUCUCUUUUUAUUUUCCUCCCCUUUCUUCAUGUUCAGAGGGAGAGAUUAUCAUUUUGGAGAGUGAGAGGACUGGUUUUCUUGUGGUCCUCUCUCUUAUUUUCUUUAUCGUUUUCUUUUUUCUAUUUUCUUGAUUUUUUGCUAAGAGAGAGUGAUUAUUGAGGAGUCAGGUCAGUCCCCUAGAGAGAGAAGAGAGGUCGCCUUUUAUUUUGUGGAUUCCCUUUUUUUUUUAUCGUUUUCCUUUCUUUUAGCGGACCGUUGGAGACCCUUAGUGGAGAUAGAUGCGUGCUAGCUGUCACCUUUUUCCAGCGAGCGAGAGAGAGGAUUUGGAAGAAACUUUUUAUUUUAUUUAUUUUCAGAUUUUUUUAAUAAUAAUAUUAAUUAAAUCUCAAAUUUUGAUUGGAUAAAGGGGAUAAGUGUGAAUUGCUAAUUAGGAGCAUUGAUUAAUUUGAAUCGAUGAUUCAGAUUAAAUCAAAGAAGCACAAACAAUUUAAAAUGGCAAAGUUCCCCUUCUAGAUGAUUUAAAUGGAAUUAAAUCAAUGAAUUCAAAUAAAAUUCACAACUUUUCACAUAAUCAUGAUAAAAUUAAAAUAAGAGCAUGGAAAAUUCUAUUUAUUUAAUCUGGAAAUUUUGGCGAAAGAAUAAAAUUAAAACGAAUAAAAAUAAAUAAAAGUCGGGCGAAAAUUAUCUUGAAAAAUUAAAUCGGAUGCACUAAAAUGAUCAGCACGAAAUAUACUUAUUAAAAAAAUACAGUGUUUCUUUAAAUUCUAAAAUAAAUUUUCACCGGUUAAAAGGCUCAAACAGAUUAAAAUGCAACUGAAAAAGUCGUCGAAAAAUAUAACGAGCACACCAGGCUGAACCACGUGAACUGUAGAUUAAUAAUACUGGCGUGUGUAAGUUUGAUUUCGAAACUUUUUACCCGCUGAUUUUGCACGUACUUGAGGAAUGAUUUAACCAAUUUGACUGUAUAUUCGAGAAUUCAUUUCGAUUGAUAUUUUAGGUAUUAUUCAUGAUGAAGUGCAUUUUAUGCUGUACAUAUGAUGCAAACUGAAAUUAAAAUCGAAUUUAUAAAAGUUUUAAAAUGCCCGGACAAAAUUGGGGUACGAAAAGACUCGAAUUUUGUCCUUUGGAAACACAAGGAAGAAAUGCAGAAAGAAAAUGCAGUGAGAAAUACAGUAAGAAAUGUUUUUAGGAGGUAAAAUGAAACAAUCAAGACUCUCUGGGAAUCGUCAUAACAAUAUCUCGGAUGUCACAAUCGAGAUUUUCCAACAAUGGAAUGAUACCUCAACUGUACCUAAGACUUUCUGAGCAUUAGCAGAACAACGUCUUGAUUUGAAUGCAUGAGAUUCUCUGAGUAUCAAUGAAGCAAUAUCCCAUAUGAUAUAAUCAAGAUAUUCCGACAAGGGAAUGAUACCUCAAUCGUAUUUAAGAUUCUCCGAGGACACCUAGAUCAGUAUCUCUAAAAGUUGAAUGAGACUCUUCAUAUCGAUGAAGUAGUAUCUUAAACAGAUAAAUGAGAUUCUCUAUAUCACACUGAAGCAACAUCUUAUAUGAUAGAAUUACGAUAUUCCAACAUGGGGAAUGAUACCUUAAUUGAAUCUAAGACUUUUCAAGGAUACUAGAGAAGUAUCUCAAAAAACAAGUGAGAUUCUUCAUAUUGAUGAAGCAGUAUCUCAAAUAUUCGUCUGUUGGGGGAAAUAUCUUAGAAAAGACUCUUUUUGGAGGAGAUUUACUGGAAAAGCUCUGUAGGGGGAAAGCUCAUAAGAGACUUUUUAUGGUAACCUCUGCUUGGAGAGGAAUGAUAGCAAAGAAAAUGUUUGGAAUAUCAUUAUUAAUCAUAAAGUUGAAAAAUGAUUUGCUGAGAAAUAAUUCCACGAGCACAUGCAGGGUAAUAACUUUAUUUAGAAAUAAGGAAAGUUGGGGAUGCAUAUGAAUGACCCUGGAUCCUGAUAUUUUGGUGUGAUUUUUGUAUGAUAUUCCACUUUAGGUGGAAAUACCAUGCAUGGGAUGAUGCAUGAUAUACAUUCAGGGAUGCAAUUGCUGGGGAUAUUUAGGAUGUGCAUGGGAAUGUAACUGAUUUUUGAUUUUAUAUAAGGUUAUGCAUAAGUAUGCUGAUGAUUGGUGGUAUCAUGUUUGAUGAAUUUUUCAGUUUGGUAGGAAAAUAAUUUAUGAAUGAUUCAUGUGAUGCAUGUGGGAAUACAAAUGGGUAACUGUAUAUUUUUGUAGGGCUUUAUUUUUUCAAUGAGAUUGUUGGAGAAUAUCAUCAUCAAAGGGUUGAUGGAAAGGUAAUUGUCAUCGUCAAAGAGUUGACGGAAAGGUAAAUGGCAUCAUUAGAGGGCUGAUGGUAAUUAAUUUGUUGUAAAAUGUCAUCAUCAGAGGGCUGAUGGAAAAGAAUUUGUCAUCGUCAAAGGGUUGACAAAAAGAAAUAAAGGAUGUCAUCACCAAAGGGUUGGUGGAAUAAAAAUUUGUCAUCGUCAAAGGGUUGACGGAAAGGAACUUUGUCAUCGUCAAAGGGUUGACAAGAAGAAACUUCACUAUGGAGUGGCAUCAUCAAAGGUUUGAUGGAAAUUUUUUAUCAUCAUCAAAGGCUUGACGGAAAGAAAUAAACGAUGGCAUCACCAAAGGGUUGGUGGAAAAGGAAUCAUAUAUGUAGUAUCAUUGUCAAAGGGUUGACGGAGGGAAACUUCACUAUGGAGUGGCAUCACCAAAGGGUUGGUGGAAAAGACUGUCAUCAUCAGAGGGCAGAUGGAAAAGAGUUUGUCAUCGUCAAAGGGUUGACGAAAAUAAACUUCACUAAGGAGUGGCAUCAUCAAAGGGUUAAUGGAAAAGGAGACCUCACUAUGGAGUGGCAUCACCAAAGGGUUGGUGGAAAAGGACGAUCAUCAUCAGGGGGCUGAUGGAGAAGAGACCUCACUAUGGAGUGGCAUCACCAAAGGGUUAGUGGAAAGGAUGAUUAUCAUCAAAGGGAUGAUGGAGAAGAGACCUCACUAUGGAGUGGCAUCACCAAAGAGUUGGUGGAAAGGAUGAUCAUCAUCAGAAGGCUGAUGGAAAAGAGUUUGUCAUUGUCAAAGGGUUGACGGAAAGAAACUUUACUAGGGAGUGGCAUCAUCAAAGGGUUGAUGGAAAAGGAGACCUCACUAGGGAGUGGCAUCACCAAAGGAUUGGUGGAAAAGGAUGAUCAUCAUCAGGGGGCUGAUGGAGAAGAGACCUCACUAUGGAGUGGCAUCACCAAAGGGUUGGUGGAAAGGAUGAUCAUCAUCAGAGGGCUAAUGGAGAAGAGACCUCACUACGGAGUGGAAUCACCAAAGGUUUGGUAGAAAGGAUGAUCAUCAUCAGAGGGCUGAUGGAAAAGAAAUUGUCAUCGUCAAAGGGUUGACGGGAAGAAUCUUCACUGUGGAGUGGCAUCAUCAAAGGGUUGAUGGAAAGAAUUUAUCAUCAUCAAAGGGUUGACGAAAAGAAACUUCACUAGGGAGUGGCAUCAUCAAAGGGUUGAUGGAAAAGGAUGAUCAUCAUCAGAGGGCUGAUGGAAAAGAGACCUGACUAUGGAGUGGCAUCAUCAAAGGGUUGAUGGAAAAAAUUAAAAGACGUCAUCACCAAAGGGUUGGUGGAAAAGAAAUGGUCAUCAUCAAAGGAUUGACAGAAAUAAUUAAGGGAUAUCAUCACCAAAGGGUUGGUGGAAAAGAAAAUUUGUCAUCGUCAAAGGGUAGACGGAAAGGAACUUCACUAUGGAGUGGCAUCACCAAAAGGUUGGUGGAAGGAAAUUCGUUGUAAAAGGUCUUCAUCAGAGGGCUGAUGGAAAAAAGAGAUCAGGUUAUGUCCUCAUCAAGGGGUUAAUGGGAAGGAAUUAUUAUGUUAUGUAUGCAUAUGAUGCAUGUUAAUGGAAAUUUCUUGUUUUUGUGAGAGAGCUUUUGCUAUGCAACUUCCUGAUUUGGCAGGAGAGUCAUGUGUGUUCAUUGUAUGCAGUGCAUGUGGUAAUGCAAGAGGAUUAUCGGUUGUUUUUGGCUUAAUCUCCCUUUUGGGAGGUGAGACUUUCUUGAUACCAAUGUUGAUUGGAUUUGGAUUCAUGAAGAUGCCAACAAAGUGGAUUUUUAUUGGUUGCCAAUAUGGAUUGGACUUUGGUUUCGGAUAUGCCAAUAGGGAUUGGACUUUGACAUUAUGAGGAUGCCAACAAAGUGGACAUUUAUUUUUAGUAGUUGCCAAUAUGGAUUGGACUUUUGGUUGGUAAAAGGUUUUGACUUCCCGACACUCUGUAUUUUGAAGAUGCGAUGAUCAAAGGAUAGAUGUGGAUGCUUUUGGUGCCCCAAAUUUGAUCUGUUGUUGAUAUAUUGUGUGUUUAGUCUUGAGAGGACCUCAACUUCUUUGCUUGAUAUGCUUUGAUGGCUUGUAAAUGAGCAUAAUGACGUAAUCAAUGCAUAAUGAUUGUGCUCUUGCUCUUCCCUAAGGCUCUUUACAACUUGUAUGCCCCAACCUUUAGGGUCUUUUAAAGGAAUUCAUCUUUGAAAGGAAACCCUGGGAAUGCACAUACCAUGGCUUGAACCAACUUUGGCCCAGUACAUGGAUCAUGCAGUGGUUUUCCCCUGAUUAAGAUUUUGAAAGGCUUGCCCCAGAUGGACUGGAUAUUUUGAAAUUGUUUGCCUCCUUGAUCAACUGAUGCUUGGAGUUUGUCUUUUGACUGACCAAUUCAUAGUCAUUAGAUGCCAUGCCCUUGAUCCAUAGGGUUAAGAGGUGGUCUUGAUUCGGAUCAGCACCAACGGAUGUUCAAGUUCCUCUGAUUGUUCCUUAUUGUUGGAAUUUCCUUGAUAUAAAGUACUAACUUGCAGUUAAAAUUGUUUAUUUAAUCAAUGGUAAUUUUAAUGCGAUAUUCAUGCAGGUUUGAAAAAUCAUUUAUUGAGGUGAUGUGAUUAUGUGUGACGAAUGAACCAUUAGUCCAAACGCAGUGCUGAUUUAUCUAGUGUGUGAAAGAUAUAGCAAGAAUAUGAUCCCAUAUACAGGUGAUUAGCAAAUAUUUAGGAGCCAGUUUACACAUCUUUGCUGUAGUAUGCUUUCAGAAUAAACCUUUCUUCAAUUAGGUCUUUUAAGGGUUGUAACGUGGCUUGGUUCACGGUUACUGACACAAAGGAUGUAGGACUCAAAUUUUGUUUUAACCCACCCUAUCUUCAUGAUGAUCUCCAAUCCUACAUUAAGUUAAACACACACAUUCAACUUUUAAGAGAGUUUGGCAGUGUAAGAUCUCUUGAAAUGGCAGUCAUCUUAUUUUGCUCUUCAUGGAUGUUGGUGACACUUUGAUUUUG
rnacentral:lncRNA from 1 species